AACCAAUCAUGGUUCGCUUAUAAAUAACGUCAACUCGUCAAGUGGUAUUCGAACAAUAACGCGUUAUAUUUACGCUAUCACUCAUCCCCAAAUCAUAUCAUUUUUCUGCAAACUACCAAAACCCUAAUUUCCGAAUUUCCAAUCAUGUCUUCCAAGCAAGGAGGAAAAGCAAAGCCGUUGAAACAACCAAAGGCCGAGAAGAAAGAAUACGAUGAGGUGGACAAGGCCAACAUUCAAAAGAAAAAAGACGAGGAGAAGGCUCUGAAGGAACUUAGAGCAAAAGCUCAAAAGGGAGCACUUGGAGGUACUGGUCUGAAGAAAAGUGGAAAGAAAUGAGGCUUGAUUGAUUGCAGAACUCAAGUAUGUUAUGUUGUGAUUUGUGAAAUGUUGCUUUGAAUAUGUUGCUUAUAUAGCUGAAUAUGUUGGCUAGAUUUACGUUGAAUGUCGGGUAAUAAUCAAGCUAAUAUUUGGUUUUGAUGUUGA